rnacentral:snoRNA from 1 species
ACGGCGAUGACUGCCCUCGAGUGCCUAACUCGUCUUACCUAUUUUCAGAACCCCCACAAGGGGCGCUGCUGAAAGCAAUAGUUGAUGAGCCGU